UACGGAGGGUGCAAGCGUUGUUCGGAUUUACUGGGCGUAAAGCGCGCGCAGGUGGGUGAACAAGUCGGAAGUGAAAUCUUGAGGCUUAACCUCGAGGCUGCUCCCGAAACUGUUCGCCUAGGGACUGGUAGAGGCUGGUAGAAUUCCCGGUGUAGCGGUGGAAUGCGUAGAGAUCGGGAGGAACAUCCGUGGCGAAGGCGGCCAUCUGGAUCAACACUGACGCUGAGGCACGAAAGCGUGGGGAGCAAACAGGG
rnacentral:rRNA from 1 species